rnacentral:SRP_RNA from 2 species
GAAAUGGUGCUCGCAAGAGGGAACCGUGAACCGAGUCAGGCCUUAACCGGAGCAGCUCUAAGCGGGGUACUUCUGUGCGAGUACCAUUUUGUG